rnacentral:rRNA from 1 species
GUGAGGAAUUUUCCGCAAUGGGCGAAAGCCUGACGGAGCAAUGCCGCGUGAAGGAUGAAGGCCUAUGGGUUGUAAACUUCUUUUCUCAGAAAAGAAUUAUGACGGUAUCUGAGGAAUAAGCAUCGGCUAACUCUGUGCCAGCAGCCGCGGUAAGACAGAGGAUGCAAGCGUUAUCCGGAAUGAUUGGGCGUAAAGCGUCUGUAGGUUGUUUAAAAAGUAUUCUGUCAAAGAUUAGGGCUUAACCCUAGAUAGGCAGAAUAAACUUUUAAGCUAGAGUUUGGUAGAGGCAGAGGGAAUGCCCGGUGGAGCGGUGAAAUGCGUAGAUAUCGGGAGGAACACCAAAGGCGAAGGCACUCUGCUGGGCCAAUACUAACACUGAGAGACGAAAGCGAGGGGAGCAAAUGGGAUUAGAUACCCCAGUAGUCC